GGGCGUUUGGCAUAGUGGUAUUGCGCCUCAUUUGCAUUGAGGAGAUCGCGUGUUCGAUUCGCGCAACGUCCA
rfam:Talaromyces stipitatus ATCC 10500 scf_1105507295515 genomic scaffold, whole genome shotgun sequence.